AAUAAAGGUACUAUAUUAAGAUUCAUAACUUAACUUUACUUGCUAGACCAGUGGUUCUCAACUUGUGGGUCGGGACCCCAUUUGGGGUCGAACAAUCAUUUCACGGGAGUUGCCAAACAAGGCUGUCCGCCAUUUUUUCCCCCUUUUCUUUGGCCACGCCCCUGGCACCCGGUGAUGUAUAAGUGGUUGGGGGUCUCCACAACAUGGGGAAUUGUAUUAUGGGGUCGCGGCAUUAGAAAGGUUGAGAACCACUGCGCUAGACCAAUUGCUUGUCUUAAUUAGGACAAUGGAAGUCACUAAAAUAUUAUUUCAAGGAUGUUUUAUUACCUAAGAGCCUACAGAUGUGUCUGAUCAUGUUUGCCCAAAGCAGUAAUAUCACGCGGUAAUACCAAGAGUAACAGCUGAAAAUACAUACUAAAAGUAUGCAGUACUGUAGGCAAAAGGAGAUUAUUAUUUAUUUAUUCAUUCACCAAAAUUAUUUUUAAUCUUGUUUUCUUCUUAGAAUAUCAGGGUAGCGCUCAAGUAGAAUACAAAUCAAAAGUACUACAGUUACAACAUAAUGAAAUCCCAAAAUAUUACAACAACAAAUCCAAAGCAUGAAAACAUCAAGUUAAAUAGAUCAGUGGAAUAUUUUAACUGGCUGGCAAGUAAGAAUAUGUUAGCUUAAUGACAAUAUAAUAGCAGUGUUAGUCAAACAUUAUUGGAGAGAGCAUUUUAGCUAUAGGAGUUGAUAUGGAGAAGGUCUCUAUGUAGUUUUUAAACAAUGAGAUUCUCCUGUCAAAUGAAUUUGGGAAAAGUGUUUUUGGAAGCUCUUAAGAUGCUGUAUAGUAUGCAUACUUCUUUGACAAUAUGGAUCUUAAAUUGUUUAGAACUUCAAAGAUAAGAACAAACUCUCUGAACUUGAAAACAAAUAUAACUAGUGUAAUUCAUUAAGAACCUGUAUAACCUACUUCCAUUUAGUUGCUUCUGUUACAAUUCUGACAAACCUAUCUGUAACUAUUUGAUUUUUUUUAUCAUCUUCAACAUUACCCCAACAUUAAUCUAAAAUCACAAGAUGCACACUAUAGACAAGCUAUUUCUAUCCAGGAACAGUUGAAGCUAUCAAAUCAAUUAAAAGUUAUUAAAGGCUUGUUUAAAUGUACUGUUCCUCAUUCAGCCCAUUACUGAUUCCAGGGUAAGAGAUUAAUUAGCAUUUGAUACUUUACUAGAAAUUGUAGAUAACAGGUAUAUAUGCACGGAUGAGUACAGAAGAUCAAAUUCCAUGGGACCUUGCAGCAAAAAAUAUGCAUUUCAGUAGAAACCCAACUUUGCAAAACCUGCUCUGGAUUACGGAAACAGAACUACUUAAUACUCUGUUCCCUACUCUUAUACCAUAGUUAUACCAAAAUACUAUAAAUAAUAUAAAAACUGAGAGAUCAGAGAGAAUGAGUGAGUUUAUAAUCCUCCAGUUCUUUUCUGAUAGAAGUUGCUCAUUGAAAUGACUGGUUGUUCUAGCAUCAACCCUAGCACUGGGUACAUUAAAAUGGACACAUUACCAUAUCCAGGUUUAGAUAAGAGAAUUCUCUGCCAUGCCAUUACAGCAACUAGAGAUGGACACUGUUCCAAAGUGAUACUACUCUUAUCCUAAUUAAAUCUAUAGUACGGGCACCCAAAACAUUAAGAAUUCAAGCUGUAUCAGAUCCAAAAUGCUCUGUUUUAAAUGUGAAGUGGGUUUGGAAAUGUUUCAAGGUGCCAAUGUUCCAAAGUACUUUCGGGUUGAGGGAACAAUCCAUUUCAUAUUCCGAAUGGGACAUUUUAAAUCUGAAAUGGUUCAAAUUUAAAAUGAUUUCCAUAUGCCUAAUGCAUAGAUAUAACAAUAAUAAACGGGAUGGAAAAGCUGAGUUGUUGAAAGAAAUGGAAAACGACAAAUCGUGUGUUAAAAUAAGAAGUGCAUCAAUAUUACAACAUUCAAAAAGCAAACGGGUGGGCUGUACAAAAAAGAUAAUUCAACUAUAGAAAGACAACAAAAAUUGUUUUGUAUGAAGGUGAAAGGUUCAUUCCUUCUAUUAACUUCUCCAAAACAAUAUGGACAAGCUAGCUAGUCUUAAAAAAGGUCAGAGGGGCUGUUUACAAACUGGCUAACCCACAUAUUUAUAAACAGACUAACUAGCUUUGUGGCUCAGUGAGAAGGAAGAAAAAAUAUGAUCCACACUUUCAUAGUCACUGCUAAACCCACAACUGAUGCGAAUGUUGGUGAAGUAUUUAGGGACAUGCAGCUGCUAUGCCUAAAGUAGUUAGGUUUUUUUUUUUUUAACUAAAAGGGAUAUGCGUCAUAGAACUCUGUUUACUAUUAACUUUUUUUUAGGAUGCUUAUCUUUUUUGUUAGGUUAGAACAUGUGGUUUUUCACAUGACAUAUCAGCAAGCCACACAUGUGCAAAAAACAAAGGAACUGCGACAUAACUGUCAUUGUUAUGUGGGUGUAGAAAUUUUGAAACACAGCAGAUUGUAUUCUUUAAAAUAAAUAAAACUUCAUCUUCUUUGCAUCAAUGGAAGGCUAGCCAAUCGAGUUAAGCAAAAUAGCCAGAAAGGGACCAAUACAAUCUUGCUAUUUUGUUGUAGUUUAACGAAGCUCUUAACUACAAUUAUGCUAGAAUUUCUAAAGAUUAGCCAGUCUUGUUGUCAGUUGUUUAGCAGAAUUUACUCAUGGUGGGCACAGCUAAUUAUAAAAUAUUCAUUUACUGCAAGGGUGGGCAUCUUAUCUCUAUCUAGUUGGAAGUUGCACCUUUUUUAUUUUUGGCCUCUGAAGUAUGAAGAGGUAUGGGGAGAGGUCUCAGAUGUUCAGGCUCUUGUUUCAGAGAUGGAUGGUUUGCUCAAAACACAUACAGCUUAACCAGUUACUUUUGGACUUAAACAGGUCUAUGUUUUAGAGAGAGAAAAAUGUCACCCAAGAUUAUCAUGUGUGGAGAAGUGGGGUCUAGAGAGCUAGGAGUCCUCCCUCUUUAUUUAUUUGAAGCAAAAUGAUUAAUUUAAUACUCUCUAGCACACAACUCCCAAAUAAUCUCUUUUACACCUUUGUCUUUUCUUUCUGAACAGGUGAGCGUUCUGCCAAAGGAAGUACUGAACAUUUUUAUUUUCUAAGAAUAUAAACUCAAGCCUAUGUAGGACACGGAAGUCUUCUUAUAAAUGAAAAUAUUCGAUAAAGUUGGUGUUUUGCACUGUAGCAGCUUUCCCCUUUUCAUCCAAUUUCAAACAAUCUUAAAACAAAGUACAAUACAAUACAAUACAAUAAAAUUGGAGAGCUUGCUAAGAACAAGGAAGGAGACUGAAGGUACAUGGAUGGCCGCAGGCACCACAUUAUUUACCAACAGAGGAAAGCAUAUGAGAGAUCUGCUGCAAGCUAUAAAAAAAAACCCUGGGUGGUAUUGAAUUAAUUUAUUUGCUAGUAUAAAGACUUCUGGUCAGGAAGAGGAAGGAAGGCAUUGAUUUUGACACCAAAGCCCUAUUCUGUUGCAAAUUUAGAAGUGGGAGAAGGGAUAGGAAGAGAAUUAGAAAAGUCUCACAACCUAUAACACAGGGUUUCAAGAUGUUACCUUUCAUUUCACUGGAUCUGUGCAUGUGACAUCUAACUCUGAAUGAAUGUGAGCAAUCGUUACACUAUUACAUGGUCUACUGAUGCCUUCACUUAAGUACUUGGCUUUUACUAGUACUUUUAGAAUGAGAAUACCUGUCAAUAUCACUGAAACUCUGAUGAUGAUAAUGGAGAAGAGACCUGCAGCUAUGAUUCCUAACGUAGACACUAGCCUUGGAAAGUGACUGAGGGUAUGUUUACAUAAUAUCUUUCUCUAGCAUGAGAUUCAGUGGUUCCUACCUCACCAACUUCAGUCUGCUGAGACAUGUCUUUUGUUUAACCCAUAUGCCACCCAUAUGAAAAAUUAAUUUAAGCAAUCAAUAUGAAAACAGAUGAAGUAAUAAAAUUGAAGAGUUUUCAGUAUGUAGAGAGAGUUUUUCCCAAAAGGAGGCCUUCUCCCUCAAUACUGAGUUAUUAAUUCAAAACAUAACUGAAAAACAGAGAAAGGCAGUUAUUCUAAAACUAAAUUCACAUUGCUGAAACCAGCAAUCCAAGCUUAACUCAGGAACAAAUUUUGUACCACAUAUCUAUACCACCCUCAGAAAGAUAACCAUUACUAGGGACUGGGCUAUAUUAGGCUAAAAGGUUAACAUGCUGCAACAAGAAAAUAGGGCAUAACAACAUACAAAUGACUCUAGCAUCACUUUAAUUUUUAUUCAUUUAUUCUCAUUUUUCUAUAUGUAGGAAAGAACAUUUAAUCCUGCUGAAAUGGGCAUUGACUAUAUAUUUUCAGCAUAUACCAUAGUUGCACAGGCUAAAAAUAUUUAAAAGAUAAAUUUAAUUCUUAUGAGGUUGUUUCCAUGUAACACAUACAUCCCAUCCCGUAAGUGUGAACAAAAAUCAGUGGGGAUUUUGGAAAAGAAAGAAAAGGCACAACAGUAUCCACUUUAGUUGUGGUGCACGUAUACCUAAUAUGUUAAUAGUACUAAACAACUUCAUUAAUGCCAUCUGAUCUAACCCAGAUGAUCAAACCAAUGACUUUCAAUCUUGAGCUCACAGUCAAUUAUGGGGUCUAUGACAGACAUUAGUAUAGUCACUUAAAUGCGGGAGCAGGCAAUUAAAAAGUUUGAUAGAAAAAUAAAAUAAAAUAAAAAUAAUUUGAGACAAUUGCCCAAAUCCCAAAGUAUCUUAAUUUCAUAAGAUUUUGAUAUUCUCAUUCAAAAUCUUAUGAGAUUAUUUUGAAUUUUUACUUAAACUUGAACUUCUGCAGAAUUGUAAAAUUCAUUCGUGCCAUAAUGUUUGCAGGCAGUGUUUCUGAUCCUUGGUUUAUGUAAUACGUUGCAAAAACUUUCCAUGAUGUUUUAAUAAUUUACAUAACAAAAAACAAAAAAACCCAAAAGUUCAUAACUGCUGACAAGGUUUAUGCAAUCUGUUCUACAUAGACUGGAGAAUGUCAACAAAGUUACUGAAUUUUCCAUGAGUGCUCAUUUGCCUUAUAAGUGAGUCGUUCUAUGGGUUAAAACAAUUUUAGUCAGUUUUUUUAAGAAAUCAUUUUUGACCUGGUUAUUUUACUGGUUUAAUUAAACCAGUUUAAUUAAAAUAACAGUUGUUAAUAAAAUUCAAUCCAGGUUUUGUAAAAUCUGAACUCUGCUAGAAAAAAAUAGAGGAAAUACUUGACAUAUAACUUGAGGUCUCUGACAGUUCUUCACCAUGUCAUACAUUUGUGACUAGAAUAAUUUCUACAGUAUUUAACAGUUGAAUUAUUUUUAUUCACCUUUUAUUUUAAAACCUGUAAAAGAUACGGAAAUACAUUCCCAUUCACACAUUAAACAAUACUUGAAUCUAUUUGUGUAAAUAAUCAUAAAAAUAGAGUCACUUUGUAGAGUGAGAUGGUUUGGUGGCAUAUACUUUUAAUAAAUAAAUAAAAAUGUCAAGAAUAUGAAAAAUUUGUCCUUUUUCAGACUACAAUAUAGUUUUAGCCCUAUGAAGGUUAUAUGAGCACAUUUUAUAACGUGGCUUUCCUACUAAUGUAUUACUUCUCCAGCAAAAAUAACUCUGCUUUGUCUCUUCCUAUAUCUGCAUGUAUGACAAUCUGUAUGUAUUAAGAUACUCUAAAUUGGAAUUAUGAGCUGUGGUGAUGUGGUGGAAUACAUUAUAGUCAAACUGCUGAGCAGAAACAAAGAUGUUCUGGUUUUGAUUGAUCACAUUUGAGAUUUCUCCUGUUUUCAGCAUGAAGAUGCUAUAGCUAAGGGGUCAGAAACUAUUCUACAAAUUUUAUACAUCUUAAUGCUUUUGUUCUGAAAUCUCACAAUCAGAGGAAUACUAAUUUCUAAUGCAUAAUUUCAGGCAUUUUUAACAAUUAUUUUUAUUUAAGGAAGUUCUAAAGAUAUUAUAUAAGAGAAGAAAGCAAUGGCAAAUUGUAUGUCAUACUGCAGCUAAGAAAAUAACAUGGACAUCUUUUCAUGAAGACACCUAGACCCUCAAAGGUUGUAAAUGCGAGGAUUGGUGGUAAAGUUACUUUUGCAUCACCAUCAGACCUGUGAAUUGUCACUAAAUGAGGCAGUCACUAAACAAGGACUACUGUACCUAGACUGCAGUCUGGUGAGAUCUGUACAAACAUCUUUCAGCAACAACUCUGGAUCUCAAGUUCAAACCCACAGUCCCCACUUAGCGGUGAAUCACUUUCAAUCAGUUUUCUCAAACACAAUUUUUUCAAAUUUUUUAAAAAACCUUCAUUUCGUUAGUUAGGAAACAAAUGCCUUUAAAGUUGUUUUUAAUUAACUAAACAUAGUGUCACUGGACCACAGCCUGAUUCAAUUAGAAAUUCCUGUUUUUUCCCCAAUGUGUAUCCAUUCUGAGAAUGACACCUUAUACAUCCUACUUGCCUUAAGGCUAAUUUUUUGCAUAAAACACAAUAUCGUAUUUUCCCCCUCUUAUCACUUGCCGUUUCUUUAGCUUAUUUUCUAAGUUACAGUUUGUAUGCAAUUAAUUAUGUGGGUUAUUUAUAACGUUGAAAUCUAGCAUACUAGUGAACAGGUAAGCUUGGUUUCAUUUUAAGUAUUAUUGGCAUUCAAAAACGAGCUGUUCAACUGCAGAACAAACAUUAUAAACUGCAUUUCCCACAUUUUUGUAAUCCCACAUAAACCUGGUUCUCUUGAAACAGUUUUUAAAAGUUUUGAAUUUAUUUCAGAAUGUUUCUUGGCAGUUCAUUUAAUUUUAUCAUCUGCAAUCUGAAGUCUUUGAUCUUGAAAAUAUUGCUAGUUAGGAAGUUCCAUGUUUUUGAUUGUUUUACUUUUAUUAUAAUUUUAUUAAACAUCACAAUUAAAAACAUAAAAAAACUAAUAGAAAUUAAAAAAUAAAAGAAUCAACAGAAAAAGUGUGGAAAAGAAAGUAAAGAAAGAAAAAUAAGAAUAUAGUAAGGAAAAUGUGUAGUUUGUAACAGUAUUUGCAAUCAAUAUUUAUAUAAAUUACAGUAUUAUGAAUUUGGAAAUUAGGGUACUGAUGAUAUUACUUUUUGUUAAGUUGCUGAAUACCUGAAAAUAUAUACUUAUUUUCCAGCUAAAUAAAAAAUGGUUCUUCCAAAAUGUUAAAAUAUUUACAACAGCUGAUUUUUUUAAAAAAGAAAAUCCUCCGGGAAAUUACAUUAAAUAAACACGUCAACACCUCCUUUGGACUUGAGAACUAUUCUUGUUUUGUUAAACAUCGAGCUACAAACACUAAUCUUUAUGACAGUUUCUGGAGAACUGGAUCAUUAUCUUACAGUAGAGCUAGUAAAGAGAGUGAUCAAUUGAUGUUACCUCUAUAAAAUGUUCUCCUAAAUCUCAACAUUUUACCAACAAAUCAAGUCUGGGCAAGAACAUUGCAUGGUUUGUAAUACAAAUUUCAUCUGAUCAUUUCAUCAAAUUUCAUCUUAUUGUGUACACUUUGAGAGCAAGCAACUAAAUUUCAUUUUUAAUGUGUGCCAUUGUGCCCACAGUAAAAAAAAUGACAA